rnacentral:misc_RNA from 1 species
UUCAUUUCUGUUUUUGCAUGGAAAAUUUCAAAGAUGACUAUUAAGAAUGGAUUUCCUUUUUUUUCUUGAAAUGUCUAUUUUCACAAAUUCUUAUACCUGUCACUCCUUGCUUCCCUCGUGCACAGUUACAGGAAUCCUGCCAAUGGGGUGCUAUAUAUAGUCCUCUACUAGCAAUUUUCCAGCUUGGAAACGUCCUUCCAUUUUCAUAUUGAUCUUCAUUUUUACAUGAAAAAUUUCAAGACAACUAUUAAGAAUUGAAGGUCCGUACCUCUACCUGACUUUAGUAUUGAAAAUUUUUGCAACUUUGAUUUUUCAAACUUACAUUUUUAUGAGUAGCUUAGGAAUAUAGUCUUAUCUCUGUGUCAAUGAAUGCCAUUGAUUGAUUUUAAUUUUUUUUUCCCACCAAAGUCUUGUAUGAAGAGCCAAUUUCAUCAAUCAGUUAAUUAAUAUCACUGGUUACAAAAUGAAUGGUAGAUUUAGACUUGGUUUGCUUAAAUCACCUCCAAUUUUCUCGAGUGUUGAUGCCAAGUGCUUGCUGUAAUUAACAUGUCGUGCAUGCUGGAGCAGGACCGUAAACUCGAUUGCAUACAAGCUUGAAUUAGCAAAUUAUUAGGGUAAGCUAAUCAACUGACGAUUGUAGAGUGAAGUCAUAGUUUGAAAAUCUUUAGAGAUUGAUCUUGAAAUUGAUUAUAUUAUGUUAUUUUUUGUGGCUUUGAAUUUUGGGAUAUGUUUUUUCAUGAACCCGAAUUGUGACCCAACUCGAAACUUUCACGCUGCGACCUGAUUGGAAUAAAAAGUGAGAUAUGUGGUGGU